rnacentral:rRNA from 1 species
GGGUUGUGAGGUUAAGCGACUAAGCGUACACGGUGGAUGCCCUGGCAGUCAGAGGCGAUGAAGGACGUGCUAAUCUGCGAAAAGCGUCGGUAAGGUGAUAUGAACCGUUAUAACCGGCGAUGUCCGAAUGGGGAAACCCAGUGCAAUUCGUUGCACUAUCGUUAACUGAAUACAUAGGUUAACGAGGCGAACCGGGGGAACUGAAACAUCUAAGUACCCCGAGGAAAAGAAAUCAACCGAGAUUCCCCCAGUAGCGGCGAGCGAACGGGGAGCAGCCCAGAGUCUGAAUCAGCUUGUGUGUUAGUGGAACGGUCUGGAAAGUCCGACGGUACAGGGUGAUAGUCCCGUACACCAAAAUGCACAGGCUGUGAACUCGAAGAGUAGGGCGGGACACGUGGUAUCCUGUCUGAAUAUGGGGGG